UACGUAGGGUGCGAGCGUUGUCCGGAUUUAUUGGGCGUAAAGAGCUCGUAGGCGGCUCAUUGCGUCAACCGUGAAAACCAGCAGCUCAACUGUUGGCUUGCGGUUGAUACGGGUGGGCUGGAGUUCGGUAGGGGAGACUGGAAUUCCUGGUGUAGCGGUGAAAUGCGCAGAUAUCAGGAGGAACACCAGUGGCGAAGGCGGCUCACUGGACCGGUACUGACGCUGAGGCGCGAAAGCGUGGGGGAGCAAACGGG
rnacentral:rRNA from 1 species